UGACUUGCUAGAGUUGGACCCUUCCACACUUUGGUUUGAUGAUAGGCCGGUGAAGAAUGUGCUCUCCGACUCGCUAACCGGCUACUAUGUUCAGCCUUGGAGGAAUUAUGGAGAGGUUGAUGAAGAUUCGAGAGAGCACUUUUGGAACUUGUUCAACAAAAAAUUCAAGUGGGCACCUGAGUUAAACAACCAAGUGAAGGACACUUUCGAAGAAAAGUUUGCAAAU